rnacentral:rRNA from 1 species
GAUGAACGCUAGCGACAGGCUUAACACAUGCAAGUCGAGGGGCAGCGAGGCUGUAGCAAUACAGCUGUCGGCGACCGGCGCACGGGUGAGUAACACGUAUGCAACCUACCCUUGUCAGUCGGAUAAUCGGAAGAAAUUCCGUCUAAUACGGCAUAACACAGAUUCGGGGCAUCCCUUAUCUGUCAAAGUUUUUCGGACAAGGACGGGCAUGCGUCGCAUUAGCUAGUCGGCGGGGUAACGGCCCACCGAGGCGACGAUGCGUAGGGGUUCUGAGAGGAAGGUCCCCCACACUGGUACUGAGACACGGACCAGACUCCUACGGGAGGCAGCAGUGAGGAAUAUUGGUCAAUGGGCGAGAGCCUGAACCAGCCAAGUCGCGUGAGGGAAGACAGUCCUAUGGAUUGUAAACCUCUUUUGUCAGGGAGCAAAAAGGGUCACGUGUGACCCAUCGAGAGUACCUGAAGAAAAAGCAUCGGCUAACUCCGUGCCAGCAGCCGCGGUAAUACGGAGGAUGCGAGCGUUAUCCGGAUUUAUUGGGUUUAAAGGGUGCGUAGGCGGAAAGGUAAGUCAGCGGUAAAAUUGAGAGGCUCAACCUCUUCGAGCCGUUGAAACUGUUUUUCUUGAGUGGGCGAGAAGUAUGCGGAAUGCGUGGUGUAGCGGUGAAAUGCAUAGAUAUCACGCAGAACUCCGAUUGCGAAGGCAGCAUACCGGCGCCCAACUGACGCUGAAGCACGAAAGCGUGGGUAUCGAACAGGAUUAGAUACCCUGGUAGUCCACGCAGUAAACGAUGAAUACUAAUUGUUCGGGGAGAUUGAUCCCUGAGUGAUACAGCGAAAGCGUUAAGUAUUCCACCUGGGGAGUACGCCGGCAACGGUGAAACUCAAAGGAAUUGACGGGGGCCCGCACAAGCGGAGGAACAUGUGGUUUAAUUCGAUGAUACGCGAGGAACCUUACCCGGGCUCAAACGACUCUGGAAUGCAUCUGAAAGGGUGCAGCCUCUUCGGAGGCCGGAGUCGAGGUGCUGCAUGGUUGUCGUCAGCUCGUGCCGUGAGGUGUCGGCUUAAGUGCAAUCACUA